rnacentral:lncRNA from 1 species
GGCCGUCAGAUCAAACCGACAUUGAUUGUGUGGUUUAGAUUGAUCCUUUAGGUCGGUGGAGUUUAGCCCCGAAGCAGAGUCCCGAUUGGACUCCAACCCUGGGCGGGCGCCCAAGGAGGGUGGGCGGCCGCCCUUCCCCCGAGCCCGAUCGUGCUCUCGUUCGUUCCCGUGGCUUCUGGACUCUUCUAGAUUGAGGAAAAUUGCACGGCACGUAAUUAUCUCGUUGUAAACAUGACAUGUGGGCCGUCUCUCCAUAUUCUCUGAUAACCCCCUGCAAAAAUAGAUAAACACCAAAGCUCGUGGAAUUCUGUCAGAUAAAACCCUAAUUCUAGAUGUUUGUUUCAUAUUGAUCCUUUUCCAUGUUUAUUUGAUUGUUAAUUUUAGUACUUAAGGACCGUCAACAAACUCCCCCAAGCUUACCCUUUGCUCGUCCCUGAGCAAAAUAGCUAAACUCAGACAGAUCAGGAGUUGCUUCGAUGUUUUCUUUCCUGAUAGGCACACAUGCUUUUACAUAAAAUUCUUCCAGAUUCGAGUGAAGUGUUAUGGAGUUUAGUACCUGCACUUAAAUCUUAAGUAAUCGAAAGACAAAAAUAGUUAAGUCAAGCACUAUUCCUCCUGUCUAUACUUCACCUUUGUUCCAGAGUUUUUCAUAAGUUUUUUAAAUAAAACUCAGAGUUCCCAGCAAUGAUUCUCUCAAGUCUCUCUAUAUGUGGUAUUUGUGGAUCCUUACCAUAAUGUCACUUACCUAUAGCUAAUGGAAUAUUUAAGUGGAGCUCAUAGGAGUGAAAAACAUCUCAUACAUAUGUUGUCUAAUCGAGCCAUGGAUCCAAAGGACUCAGCAUAUAAUUAAAUCAAGACGUGCAUGUGUGGUGGAGUAAAUGAUAGUGAUGGUAAAAAUGUAUAAGUAAUAAUAAAACUUGGUUCUCAUUGCUCCUCAUAUUGCUAUCUCUCCUCUUCUUUGAUCUUUGCUUUGGGAGAACAUGGGCUAUCUUUUUCUCUUUUUUUUCAGGUGGGUAGUAGAUACCCCUAAUUCUACUGUCGGACACUUGUCCAUUUUUUCCGCUCAAGUGGGCAUCUUUGUACCCCUAAUUCUACUUCGGACACUUGUCCAUUUUUAUCUCUCGUCUCACUCUUUUUCUUUCUUUUUUCGAGGUUCCGGGCACUUGCCCCUUUUUAUUUCCUCGCAUAUUUUUGCAUAACCCAUGCCUCUUCUGCAUUGAAUCUUUUUAGAGAGAGAAUAACAAUAUUUGGGACAGUGAGUGAUAAUAUUUUUAGCAAUUUUAAUGAAUGGUGAUGAAUGGUGUAGUGGAUGUGUGCAAGUGAAUAUCUUAAUUUAACCACAUCAAAAGCUCCUAAGGGUCUACACAGCUCGAUCAAACUCAAUGUAAAUAUAGUAAAAGAUGUUAUAGCAAGUAUGGCUGUGGUAGGUAGUUUGUUAUGCUAGGAACUCAUCAUGUGAUUUGUAAGUUUUCAAAAUAAAUCUCUAGAACUUAGUGUAGUAGGAACAAGAUAAACAGUAGCUCAACUUUAUAUCAUGCAUUUCUCUUACCUAGACUUUAGUUUUAUAUUUCCCAUAGAUAGUAAUUUUAGUUUUAGUAAUUCCUGGAAGAACUCUAAUAUAGAAGCUAGGUACUUGAAAGUAAGCAAACAGAGCAACUAUUCAUCAUUUCCAUCAUACAUCUUUUUGGUCUUUUUAUUUUUUCUAGGGAUUAAACUUAGCAGGAAAAUAAAGCACACUUGUCUACACACUCUUUUUAUUUUGUUUUCAUGUUUAUAAAAUGCAGUAAAUUUAAGC